CUGCUCUGGGGCUGCCCGUCCCUCCAGAAGAGGAUACUCUGGGUAUAGUCCCUUUCGGGGCCUCAGCCUUUGAGAGGAAAUGCCGAGGCUACAUAGUGACCCGGGAAUAUGGUCACUGGACAGACCGGGCUGUGAGGGACUUGGCUCUACUCAAGGCCAAGUACCCAGCAUAGAAGGUCAGCCUUCUGUCAGACGUCUCAAGAAUUUCUCGUUCAGAGGACUCAUUCCUGCCUUACUUCUGAGACUGAGAACACACCACAUCCCACUUAGCAGACAGGGUCUGUGUACCAAGCAUUUGGGAAUAUUCCUUGGAAGUCAAACUUCUACCACUUAUUGUCUGGGUCUUCCUGCCAGGUCCUAGAAACUCUAGAGACUCCCUUCCAGAUACAGAGGGGAGGGCACUCUGAUCCAUUUGACGGGUCACUAAACUAAUAGUCUAUUGAUUUUUUUUUUUUUUUUACUUCCUAGUUGGAAAGAAGAGCCCUUCUGAAGAGGCUUUA
rnacentral:lncRNA from 1 species